GAUGAACGCUGGCGGCGUGCCUAAUACAUGCAAGUCGAGCGAACAGACGAGGAGCUUGCUCCUCUGACGUUAGCGGCGGACGGGUGAGUAACACGUGGAUAACCUACCUAUAAGACUGGGAUAACUUCGGGAAACCGGAGCUAAUACCGGAUAAUAUAUUGAACCGCAUGGUUCAAUAGUGAAAGACGGUUUUGCUGUCACUUAUAGAUGGAUCCGCGCCGCAUUAGCUAGUUGGUAAGGUAACGGCUUACCAAGGCAACGAUGCGUAGCCGACCUGAGAGGGUGAUCGGCCACACUGGAACUGAGGCACGGUCCAGACUCCUACGGGAGGCAGCAGUAGGGAAUCUUCCGCAAUGGGCGAAAGCCUGACGGAGCAACGCCGCGUGAGUGAUGAAGGUCUUCGGAUCGUAAAACUCUGUCAUUAGGGAAGAACAAAUGUGUAAGUAACUAUGCACGUCUUGACGGUACCUAAUCAGAAAGCCACGGCUAACUACGUG
rnacentral:rRNA from 1 species